AUCUUCCCGACCCAGGGAUCGAACCUGCGUCUCUUACGACGUCUCUUGCAUUGGCAGGCGGGUUCUUUACCGCUAGUACUGCCUGGGAAGUCCCGCAGGUGGUCAGGCCUGUGUCUGCUCUGUGCCCUUGUAUGCGAAUCUCUGCCCUCUCAGAGGACUGUUUAGCCCUGGGUCUGGGGCUUUCUGAGUCUUAUGGCAGGAGGGCUGGUCUUCUCUCAUUUUGUGCUCCAUGCCCCGCAGCUUUCCUCCUGGGUCAUCACAUUUGUCCGCAGCUGGCGGGUGUGGGGCUCAGGUCCCUACAAGUCCCUGGUCUCCUUGGAAGCCUAGAGAGUGAGAUGGAGGUUCAUCAUCGUCUUACCUCUGACCUUCAAGUUUAAGAAACUGUCUAAAAAUCACACCUCAAACCCAGCCCGGGAGCCGGUGGUGUCAGACUACGCACGGGGCCAGGCUGGGUCCCCACACCGCUGGGUCCCGAGAGGGGCCUGUUGCCCUGGGACCCGGAAAGCCAAGUUAAUCAACCAUCUGAUCUGUCCAGCCCUGAGUCUAAGCUUGCAGCUUUGCCAUCAGCCAAGCCUGGCAAGGGAGGUGUCAUAUUAUGGGGCUUCAGGAAUUCCGUUUGAUAUUUUAAAAUAUCUGCACCUUCUUCUCCUGGUCUCGGUUAAAUAACCUCUCUUCUGUUAGGAUUUUGUGAUAAACGCGAAGAAACCCUCCCCUGUUGCCCACACAUGCCUUCCACAAGGAAAAUAAUCAUCUCUCCUGCUCACAACUUGCCUUUCUUCUGAAAUAGCCCAUCUCCAGCCUGCCCGCCCCGGCUCCCAGCUGGGUUCUCCCGUGUCUCCAGACAUCCCGGGGAGACAGGAAGAGGAUGCAGAUUGUCCUGAUUUUGCUGAUGGAAAUUGUACAGUGGCAGAAACGCAGGGUCCGGGCUGGGCUGCCCUGGGCUCCCACGAGGGCUUCUGGCUUGCUCUUUUGGUUCUGGGCUCAGCCAUGCACCUCCCAGUGGCUUCAUUCGAACGUUGCCUCUGCUACGCAUUCUUGCCUUCUCUCCUUGGUGAUUAAUCGAUCAACUUUUGCCUGCCUGCUUUGCAGGUGGCUAUGAACUACGCUCUCUUCACUGAUGCUCAGAAAAGUGUUAAAGACCUCUUGUGCCCCAGAUGGUACAGCUAAAAAGUGGCAAAGUUGUAAUUCACACCUGGAGAGGCCGAAUGUCUUCGUUUCCACUAAGCCAGGUAAACUCUCUGGCAAAGGACACCGCCGCUGUUCUCUGCUCACCUGCCGGGUGACCUGCUUUGCCGCCAGGGAGGUGGAUCCGUGCUUGCGCCUUGCACAUGCUGGGCAUAUCAUGUAUGUGCAUAGACACCAAUAUGUAGCAUUUCUUGUUGCUGUUCUUCGGUCACUAGAUCGUGUCCGCCUCUUUGUGACCCCAUGACUGCACCGGGCUUCCCUGGUGGCUCAGAUGGUAAAGAGUCUUCCUGCAGUGCGGGAGACCUGGGUUUGAUCCCUGGGUCCGGAAGAUUCCCCUGGAGAAGGAAAUGGCAACCCACUCCAGUAUUCUUGUCUGGGAAAUCCCCAUGGACAGAGGAGCCUGGUGGGCUACAGUCCAUGGGGUCACAAAGAGUCAGACAAGACUGAAUUUUGAGUUUUUGAACUUUUUUUGGACUGUGGCCCUCCAGGCUUCCCUGUUCCUCAGUAUCUCCCAGAGUUUGCUCAAACUCAUGUCCAUUGAGUUAGUGAUGCUAUCUAAUCAUCCCAUCCUCUGUUGCUCCCUUCUCCUUUUGCCUUCAAUCUUUCCUAGCUUCAGGGUCUUUUCCGAAACCGACUUUUCCAGAGUCAGCUCUUUGCAUCAGGUGGCAAAGUGCUGGAACUUCAGCUUCAGCAUCAGUCCUUCCAGUGAAUAUUCAGGACUGAUUUCCUUUAGGAUUGGCUCAUUUGAUCUCCUUGCAGUCCAAGGGACUCUCAUAUGUUACAUGUUAUGUAUGUUAUAUGUAACGUAUAACACAUAUAAUAUAAUCUAUAAUGUACACAUAGAAUAUGUAACAUUUCCAUACAUAUAAUGAGGGAUUCCGUCAUAGCUCGCUUGGUAAAGAAUCUGCCUGCAGUGCAGGAGACCAGGGUUCGAUUGCUGGGUCGGGACGAUCCCCUGGAGAAGGAAACAGCAACCCUUUCCAGGAUUCUUGCCUGGGAAAUCCCAUGGACAGAGGAGCCUGGUAGGCUACAGUCCAUAGAAUCGCAAAAGUCGGGCACGGCUUAGCACCUAAAAUACGUAAUACGUAUCACAAAACGCGAGCAUCGUUUGUUUUCAGUGUCUUAUUUCUCCCUAGGCUUUCUGCUCUGGGAGUGGGGUCCUGUCCCUCCUGUCUGGCAUUGUUACCACCUAGUCUAAAAGCACAAGCACAUAGUAGGUGCUUUGUCCACAUCAGCCUGCCCUUGCGGUGUGCAGUGACUUUAGAUAAGGUCUGUGGCCACCUGUGUGUUGUGUAUUCUUGUUACAGGGUUGCGGGGAGGCUUCAUGUGAGUUUGUUUUUUUGUUGCUAAGAAAGCCUCCCCACAGCAAAAGAGACACAGAAGUACAGAACAGUCUUCUGGACUCGGUGGGAGAGGGCGACGGUGGGACGAUUUGGGAGAAUGGCGAUGAAACAUGUAUAUUACCAUAUGUGAAAUGGAUCGCCAGUCCAGGUUUGAUGCAUGAGACAAGCCUUGGAGGGCGGUGCUGUUAAUAUUAUUGUACCGACUGCUGACAAAUGAGGAAACUGAGAUCCAGACAAAGUCCCAGUUGUAUGAGACAGAGGUGAGAUUCAAACUCGCACGGUCCCAGCUGAUGGUGGGAGCUGCUGCUUUAAGAAAGAAUUUGGAGAGCCAUGAAGGGCCUUCCCCUCGGCCCCCUGACUCUCAAGUUUACUGAAAAAGCAACAAAAGAAGCUGAUGGCUGGGCGUUGGGGAGGGGGAGACAGAGAGAAAGCGGAAUCAGGUCCUUUGGCCAUUUCCAUCCUGACCAGCCCAGACACCAGCCCUGGGAGGUGGGGGCUUCUUUGUCCCCCCAGCCGCAAAGUAUAGCUCUUAAGUUGGGAUUUGCCCAUCAGUAAAUCAAGGUACCUGAAAAGUGAACUGGGGAACUGACUCUUUCCCCAUUUUUUUUUUUUUUAAUUUAAACAAACAGCACCGUGAAAUGUCAACCUGUCGGUCGUUUGGAAAGUUUGCGGCAUGGAAAGGCAAUUGCCCAAAUGACUUUUUAAAAGUAUGAGAAUGUGCCUGGCUGAACGUUUUUUAAUUAACGCCUCAAGUUAACGUUAAUAACUAUUCAUAGCUCGGCGAGCUGGGUUUGGGGUGGUUGAAGGAAAAUUUGGUAUCUCUGGCAGAGGUGCAAUGUUGACCUGGCUGGCAAGGGGGCUGUCAGCCGCUUUUGCAAACCUCAGGGACCUCGGGGCCUGUGUGGGCCCGUUUGCAGUCAGGGUGUGGGCUUACGGGGCGUCACUGGAUGUUUCUUGUAAGUCUAAGUGUUGCUGCCGCUGCCCAGGUGGUCUCUGGGACUCAGGUCUCCCGAGAUAUGCCCACCCUCAAUCUGGUGAGCAAUCCUCUCAAGGGGAUUCUUUUUUUUUAAAAAAAAUGUUGCUUGGGGUCACACCAUUUAAACUUACCUCCCUGCUUUUCUGUGAUCUCAUUUUUUCCUUAAAAUAUAUUUGGAAAAAUGUUUUUGAGUUGAGCAUUUUGUUUUCCAUUCAGACAUGGUGAAACUGACACACGGGAGCCAAGGCUGGGCGGGAGGGUGGGGGACCCGGGCCUCGCACACCUUUGCGGGUCAGUCCUUAGCAGGCUGGGUGUGCACACGGGGCCGCGGUAGCUUCUUAAUUCCUGCCCGCCGAUGCUGCAGCUCCGUGUGGUCACUGGUGGGUACACGCCAUGUUCGGAAGGUGUCCCUCCAGGCAAAGAUGCGAUUUUAAAAGAGAAAGCUGGAAACACUUCCAGUUAUUUUUUAAAAUAUAUUUUAAAUUGGAAGAUAGUUGCCUUACAAUGUUGCGCUGGUUUCUGCUGUAUGACCCUGUGAGCCAG
ensembl:lncRNA